AGUGCAAAAGACUGAAUUGCCCUUAUGCCCAUCCUGCAUUGGUGCCUUCUUCCACUCAGGCUUCUCCACAGCCAUGGUGAUGGUGGUGUGCACCCCUGGCAGUCUGAGACCACCUAAUUCGGAGUACGGGACAGCAGCCACUGUGUUGCCCAACUGAAGCCACCAGGGCUUGGGCCAUGGCCACCACACAACGCGCGUUAUCUAAGUCGUCGUCACCGCCUGCGUUUGCCUGGUAGUUAAGGAUGCAGCCGCGGUUGCUUGCACAAACCAAACUGCAGCCACUAGGCCAGAUGGUGUGACAGAUGCAGCUGGAGCGGUGGACGCUGAUGGUUAGCAACUUAGCACAAUGAGAUGGUGUUUUUCUCCAGUGAAACUAACGCAAAGGAAAGAGGAUGCCUCUGGUUGGAGGAAACUUGAAGGGCUAUGAUAUCCUCAAGUGAAGAUUAUUUUUGGUGGUGGAUAUAUUGCUGUUGAGUUUGCUUCUAUCUGGAGAGGCUUAGGUGGUGAAGUAGACUUGUUUUAUAGAAAAGAACUUCCUCUGAGGU